CAUAUUUGUGCUCCUUCACGGGAGGGCAGGGAGGUUCAACGGACCUUAAAACAUGAAGGUCUUUUUUCUGUUUGCUGUUCUCUUUUGUUUGGUCCAAACAAACUCAGUGCACAUCUCUCACCGGGAGGCUCGAGGACCCUCAUUUAGGAUCUGUGUGGACUUUUUAGGGCCUAGAUGGGCCAGGGGAUGUUCCACCGGGAAUUAGAAAUACCAUCUGCCAUAUGCAGCAAGGGAUCUGCAGACUUUUUUUCUGCCAUUCUGGUGAGAAAAAGCGUGACAUUUGCUCUGAUCCCUGGAAUAGGUGUUGCGUAUCAAAUACAGAUGAAGAAGGAAAAGAGAAACCAGAGAUGGAUGGCAGAUCUGGGAUCUAAAAUAUAAGCUCCCGGAAGGCAGGGAUGUUGAAGUAUCCCAAGGGCUUAAAGGAAUGUGUGGCUUAUAGUAGGUGUUCAAUAAAUAUUUGUUGAAUGAAUUUAGCACCAAA
rnacentral:lncRNA from 10 species